UACUCGAGUGGCGAACGGGUGAGUAACACGUGGGUGAUCUGCCCUGCACUCUGGGAUAAGCCUGGGAAACUGGGUCUAAUACCGGAUAGGACCAUGCUUUAGUGUGUGUGGUGGAAAGUUUUUUCGGUGUAGGAUGAGCCCGCGGCCUAUCAGCUUGUUGGUGGGGUAAUGGCCUACCAAGGCGGCGACGGGUAGCCGGACUGAGAGGUUGGUCGGCCACAUUGGGACUGAGAUACGGCCAG
rnacentral:rRNA from 1 species